rnacentral:rRNA from 1 species
GACGAACGCUGGCGGCGUGCUUUACACAUGCAAGUCGAACGGUGAAGGUGGAGCUUGCUCCGCCGGAUCAGUGGCGAACGGGUGAGUAACACGUGGGCAACCUGCCCCUAACUUUGGGAUAACUACUCGAAAGAGUAGCUAAUACCGGAUAUGAAGUCUGUAGGCAUCUACGGACUUGGAAAGUUUUUCGGUUAGGGAUGGGCCCGCGGCCUAUCAGCUUGUUUGUGAGGUAGUGGCUCACCAAGGCGACGACGGGUAGCCGGCCCUGAGAGGGAGACCGGCCACACUGGGACUGAGACACGGCCCAGACUCCUACGGGAGGCAGCAGUGGUGAAUAUUGCGCAAUGGGCGUAAGCCUGACGCAGCAACGCCGCGUGCGGGAUGAAGGCCUUCGGGUUGUAAACCGCUUUCAGCAGGGAAGAAGCGAAAGUGACGGUACCUGCAGAAGAAGCACCGGCUAACUACGUGCCAGCCGCCGCUGUAA